rnacentral:SRP_RNA from 1 species
UUUAUGAGAGUGGGCAUUUUUUUUAUUUAUCGAGUCAGGAUCGAAAGAUAGCAGCUCAAAUUAAAAUUAAGUGGGUCACUCUCAUUUCUUA